rnacentral:rRNA from 1 species
UAAAGAAAGUAAGAAAGGGCGUAUGGCGGAUGCCUAGGCUCACGGAGGCGAUGAAGGACGUGAUAAGCUGCGAUAAGCUUCGGGUAGGUGCAAAUAACCUUUGAUCCGAAGAUUUCCGAAUGGGACAACCUAGCCGUCUGAAGGACGGUUACUCUUACCAAUGUAAGAGAGCUAACGCAGGGAACUGAAACAUCUUAGUACCUGUAGGAAGAGAAAAUAAAUAAUGAUUCCCCCAGUAGUGGCGAGCGAACGGGGAACAGCCCAAACCGUUGACGUCGCAAGGCGCCAGCGGGGUUGUAGGACCGCGACAUUGUAUGCAAAUCGUGAACAGAACACUUUGGAAAAUGUGACCAUAGACGGUGAUAGUCCAGUAUGUGAAGCGAAAUGCAGCAUAGCGGUAUCCUGAGUAACGCGGGACACGAGGAAUCCUGCGCGAAUCUGCCGGGACCAUCCGGUAAGGCUAAAUACUCCCGUGAGACCGAUAGCGAACGAGUACUGUGAAGGAAAGGUGAAAAGAACCCCGAGCAGGGGAGUGAAAUAGUUCCUGAAACCAUACGCCUACAAGCGGUCGGAGCAUCGUAAGAUGUGACGGCGUGCCUUUUGCAUAAUGAUCCUACGAGUUACCGUCACUGGCGAGGUUGAGUGUCACGAGACACGUAGCCGCAGUGAAAGCGAGCCUGAAUAGGGCGCACAGUCAGUGGGGGUAGACGCGAAACCAAGUGAUCUACACUUGGCCAGGAUGAAGUCCCGGUAACACGGGAUGGAGGUCCGCACCAAUAAGCGUUGAAAAGCUUCUGGAUGAGCCGAGUGUAGGAGUGAAAGGCCAAUCAAACUUGGAGAUAGCUCGUACUCCCCGAAAGGCAUUUAGGUGCCGCGUCGGAUGGUCACCGUGAGAGGUAGAGCGACCGAUAGGACAAGAGGGCUUCACCGCCUAUCGAGUCCUGACGAACUCCGAAUGCUCACGGUCUGCAGUCCGGCAGUAAGGGGGCGGGUGCUAAGGUCCGUCCCCGAGAGGAGAAGAAUCCAGACCGCCGUCUAAGGUCCCGGAGUUCUGCCUGAGUUAGUCUAACGAAGUCUGGUCCCUAUGACAGCUAGGAUGUUGGCUUGGAAGCAGCCAUUCAUUCAAAGAGUGCGUAACAGCUCACUAGUCGAGGGUCCGGGCAUGGAUAAUAAUCGGGUAUAAGGCAGACACCGAAGGCGCGGGAUAGCAAUUUUAAAAGUAUCGGUAGGGGAGCAUACUCACAGCGUCGAAUGGUGUACGUAAGUUAUCCUGGAGCGGUGAGUAAAGCAAAUGUAGGAAUAAGUAACGAUAAGGAGGGUUAGAUUCCCUCCCGCUGUAAGACCAAGGUUUCCCGGGCAAUGCCAAUCAGCCCGGGGUCAGUCGGGUCCUAAGUCUAAGCCGAACGGCGAUGGCGAUGGCAGAGACGGUUAAUAUUCCGUCACUGCCGCAUGGGGCGACGUGGAGACGGAGCAGUGAAACCACCGCGGGGCGACGGAAGUCCCCGUUGAAGAGUGUAGG